AGGGGGACGAACAGUUGGAAACGACUGCUAAUACCACAUACGAUCUAAUCUCGGCAUCGAGGAUAGAUGAAAGGUGGCCUCUACAUGUAAGCUAUCACUGAAGGAGGGGAUUGCGUCUGAUUAGCUAGUUGGAGGGGUAACGGCCCACCAAGGCGAUGAUCAGUAGCCGGUCUGAGAGGAUGAACGGCCACAUUGGGACUGAGACACGGCCCAGACUCCUACGGGAGGCAGCAUG
rnacentral:rRNA from 1 species